rnacentral:rRNA from 1 species
CGGGUGAGUAAAGCAUCGGAACGUACCCUAGAGUGGGGGAUAACUAUCCGAAAGGAUAGCUAAUACCGCAUAUUCUAUGAGUAGGAAAGCGGGGGAUCUUCGGACCUCGCGCUCUAGGAGCGGCCGAUGUCAGAUUAGGUAGUUGGUGGGGUAAAGGCCUACCAAGCCGACGAUCUGUAGCGGGUCUGAGAGGAUGACCCGCCACACUGGGACUGAGACACGGCCCAGACUCCUACGGGAGGCAGCAGUGGGGAAUUUUGGACAAUGGGGGCAACCCUGAUCCAGCCAUGCCGCGUGAGUGAAGAAGGCCUUCGGGUUGUAAAGCUCUUUCGGCCGGGAAGAAAUCGUGUGGGCUAAUACCCUGCAUGGAUGACGGUACCGGAAUAAGAAGCACCGGCUAACUGCGUGCCAGCAGCCGCGGUAAUACGUAGGGUGCGAGCGUUAAUCGGAAUUACUGGGCGUAAAGCGUGCGCAGGCGGUUUUUUAAGACAGGCGUGAAAUCCCCGGGCUUAACCUGGGAACUGCGCUUGUGACUGGAAGGCUAGAGUACGGCAGAGGGGGGUGGAAUUCCACGUGUAGCAGUGAAAUGCGUAGAGAUGUGGAGGAACACCGAUGGCGAAGGCAGCCCCCUGGGCCGAUACUGACGCUCAUGCACGAAAGCGUGGGGAGCAGACAGGAUUAGAUACCCUGGUAGUCCACGCCCUAAACGAUGUCAACUAGUUGUUGGG